UUGGAGGGCAAGUCUGGUGCCAGCAGCCGCGGUAAUUCCAGCUCCAAUAGCGUAUAUUAAAGUUGUUGCAGUUAAAAAGCUCGUAGUUGAAUUUCGAGACCGGCUUACUGGUCGUGCUAUUGUGCGUACUGGUAUAAUCGGUUUCUCCUUUCUGACGAACUAUAAUGCCAUUAAUUUGGUGUUAUAGGGAAUCAGGACUGUUACUUUGAAAAAAUUAGAGUGUUUAAAGCAGGCUCACGCUUGAAUACAUUAACAUGGAAUAACGGAAUAGGACGUUUGAUUCUAUUUUGUUGGUUUCUAGGAUCGACGUAAUGAUUAAUAGGGAUAGUUGGGGGCAUUAGUAUUCAAUUGUCAGAGGUGAAAUUCUUGGAUUUAUUGAAGACUAACUACUGCGAAAGCAUUUGCCAAGGAUGUUUUCAUUAAUCAAGAACGAAAGUUAGGGGAUCGAAGACGAUCAGAUACCGUCGUAGUCUUAACCAUAAACUAUGCCGACUAGGGAUCGGAUGAUGUUAAUUUUUUAAUGACUCAUUCGGCGCCUUACGGGAAAC
rnacentral:rRNA from 1 species